UUGACUGUGCUAAGGUAGCAUAAUAAUUUUUUUUUUAAUUGAAAGGUUGGAUGAAUGAGUUAACGAAACUAGUGCUGUGCCUAUUUUUUUUAAAAUUUUCUUUGGAGGUAAGAAAGCUUUCAGGUUUUAAUGGGACGAUAAGACCCUAAAAACUUUAAUAUUAAUUUAUUUUAUAUAAGUUAUGUGUUUAGCUGGGGCGGUUAUAUUUUUAAUACAUAUAUUGAAUAGAUAUUAUGUAAAAUUGGUAAUGAUCUUUGAUGAAUUAAGAGAAAUUACUCUAGGGAUAACAGCAUAAUUUUAUUGGAAAGUUCAAAUUGAUAAGAUAGUUUGUGACCUCG
rnacentral:rRNA from 1 species